CCUACGGGUGGCAGCAGUGGGGAAUAUUGGACAAUGGGCGAAAGCCUGAUCCAGCCAUGCCGCGUGUGUGAAGAAGGCCUUCGGGUUGUAAAGCACUUUCAGUGGGGAAGAAAGCCUUGGGGCUAAUACCCUCGAGGAAGGACAUCACCCACAGAAGAAGCACCGGCUAACUCCGUGCCAGCAGCCGCGGUAAUACGGAGGGUGCGAGCGUUAAUCGGAAUUACUGGGCGUAAAGCGCGCGUAGGCGGUCUGAUAAGCCGGUUGUGAAAGCCCCGGGCUCAACCUGGGAACGGCAUCCGGAACUGUCAGGCUAGAGUGCAUGAGAGGAAGGUAGAAUUCCCGGUGUAGCGGUGAAAUGCGUAGAGAUCGGGAGGAAUACCAGUGGCGAAGGCGGCCUUCUGGACUGACACUGACGCUGAGGUGCGAAAGCGUGGGUAGCAAACAGGAUUAGAUACCCCAGUAGUC
rnacentral:rRNA from 1 species